UCAAGGCUGGAGGAUGACAAGCUCCUGACUGAUAGAUACAUGGAGACUUCGCUGGUGAUUUAUUGGCUUUCUGCACCUGACGAGAACCACUAGGCCUAUCUGAGGAGGGAAAUAUAUGGGCUUUCCUGACUCCAAGUGGCAGCCCCGGGGCGAGCAUGUGAUGUCAAGCUGGGCAGAGGAAAGCGGAGCUGUGCACCGGCCUGUGUACUGUAAGCCGGCCCGGGUCGUAAAAGUGUCAGCACGCGAUAUAUUUCUUGCAGGGGAUCCUCUCUGGCUCUUGCCAGCGCCUCUCCCCCGUGGCUGGCAGCCGCCCUAGCCGGGCCUGCAAGCAAGGGAUGCCCCAGGUCGCUAUCCCUCCGCCCUGCCCCGGAGCGCCGGGCCCUCACGUUCUCUCUCGCUCCAGCCUGGGGUCUCUCACGUGGCAUCUGGCCCUGGGGACGGUGCAGCGGAGGAGUUAAUUGCUGUCACUCCUGACUUCAGCGAAAGAGGUCGAUCGUGGGGCUUCUUCCUCGGGGUUAGCAGGGGCCUGGAGUGGAUGUUUAGUCUACCGGUCAGACUCCAGGUCUUAUAUCUUGAAACUGUAAGUCCCUGAAUUCACAGACAAUUCAGAGUAAGGAUGGAGGCAAAGAAGAGGACCUUGGGUUUACUGUUCACCAGAUGACCUCAUAAAGGUGUUCAGUGAUGAAGAGGAGUGGCUGAAGAAGUAAGGAGAACACUCAAAGCAACAACAGCAAAACCUACAGUAUGAAGGGGGUAGUCAUAAGAUGGCUGUCUAGAGUCAACAAGAACCUACCCCAAAGUUUGACCUUUGCCUUAAGUCAGUAACUGAGGAGGGCCACGGUCCUGAGUUCAGUCCAGGCCCCAAGAAGAUUCAGAGCCGGCAGUUGUCCUCUGGUUUCUAAAGUAUGUUAUUGGGCUAAAGAUUUCAAGACAUUUAUCCUUCUUUGCUUUCUAUCACAGCCAUUAAAUGUUUUAGAUAUUUUCUGCCAGAAGGCAGGAAUCAUGAAGAUAACAAAUAUUAAAGACAAAACAAAAUAACUUUUAAUGAGAAGGUCAGUCCGUGGUUUGAGUCUUUGGAAAGAAAUCAAGAACUCUGACUAUACUUGCUAUUUGACCAUUGAUUCUCUAGUGGAAAUGGGCAAAUCUUUUAUACCAGGGCAAAUUUUUCAGUAAAGGGCCAGACAGCAAAUAUUUUAGGAAUUGUGGGCCAUACAGUCUCUCUCCCAACUACUUAACUCUUCAGCAUAGCAUAAAAGCAGCCAUAAACAAUAGUACGACAAGUAUGGCUGCAUUCCAAUAAAACUUUAUUUACAAAAAUAGGCAGCAGGCCAGAUUUGGCCCACAAGCUAUAGCUUUCUGACCCCUGCUUUGCCAAACUCAAUAACAAACAGAGAGGGAGACUCUUUUAAAAAAAUUAUAUUCAUUUGGGAGUAGCAUUGCAAUGGGAAUAUGUGUGCCAUAGUAAAUUAUGAGCGUAUUCAAAGAGAUUGGGGCAAGGGGAAGUUUAUAAAGGCAAAACGAAGAGGAUUACAAUCGUUCAAAUCAAUUAUCCUUGGCUACAAGGGUGGCACAAGUCCAAGCUUGAACAGGCAGUUGCUAGACAGACAUCCUUACAGAAGUAUUUUCUGUAUAAGGUUGCAGUGGCCUUUUUGCAAAGCUGUAGUAAAUCACAGGGGUCAGUACAACGGUACUGCAAUGGAUAAGCCUUGCCCUCGGAAAAUCUUCGUGAUCAUGGUAUCUCCCCUGCCAAAUAAAUAUUGUGACAGUUCUUAUCAGGCAUUCAUGUGUAAGAACUCUCCCUUGAUGGCCUUCCCUGGCUCCAUUUGCCAGGGUUUUAACAUAAAUUACUCCAUUUUGAUUCGGACAACUUUCAUAGCUGCUUACCAUCUGUGCCUCUGUGUAUAAAAGUGGACAUACUAAAAUUUUUCCUUAGGGCUACAACUAAACAUCCAGCCUAGCCCUUAGCCAGCACCAAGGAAGAGGCCUGGGGGAUAGAGGAACAAAUAAUGAGACCAAGUCAGGCCAUCCCCCAUGGGGUGAGGCCUGCAGGUAGGUGGGCCCAGUGUGGUGUACCUCUAGCACAGUGCCUGGCACAAAAUUGCAGUUUAUUUUCUGAAUAAAUAACUCUUGGAUCAAUUGGUUGCUCUCUGGGAAUGUGACUUUGCUGUUGAGUUGUGCAGAGUACUCUCUGUCUCCAGGCCAAUCCCAGCUUCAGUAUCUCACCCCACAAUCCACAUUUCCCAGUGUCUGGAGUAACAACAAUGACCUGGGGCUGGGCUCUCAGCAAGUCAAACCCUGCCUCAACAAACCCAAACUGCUUUGGGGACCAAUGUGACACAAAUGUAUACUGAAUCCCCUGAAUUCCCCCUGGUGAUCCUGUCCUGUAACAGGCCCUCCGCAUCCCCUCAGGCCAGUGCAUUCAGGAAAUCAGUGACCACAGGAUGGUUUCUCAGCUGAAGGGAAGGUCAGCCUGCAUCUGAGCAUCUUAGAACAUGUUAUUUUGUUCCCACUGGUCAAUCCCGUCCAAGCUGUACACAUAGUGCCUAAGCCAGGUUUGUUACUGCAGGCCUGUCUUCGGAAAGGUCACUGAACAGAAGGAGGAGGCACCUUACUCUCUUUUGUUACCUCUUCACCACUUUUGUCUAAAGGGAAGUUUAGCUGGAGGGCUGAGCACGCAGACAGGUUUCUGACUGUGCCACAUAGAUCCCACAUUGCUUCUCUGCCAUGACUUAUCAUCUGUGACUUGACAUGUUCUGCACACACGGGCAUGUUGUACACAUUGAGACAUGCUUCCUGCAUUCAAAGAUUUUCCCAUAUUGAGGGCAUUUUCCUGGUGUAGAAUUGAAGACUGAAUUGAGGCAUUCAGAUUGACCUCAACAUCUACGGGUCUGGAGGAGGUUUGGGACGUUUUCUUUUCUUCUCUUCAGGGGCCCACUCCUGUUGUAAAGAGCAGCAGCAUUUAUAAUGAGGGCCCAGGAAAUGCGGGGGAGAGGGGAGAGCCUGUUAUCUCUGCAGUGGGUGACUGUUGUUUCCCUGAUCAACAACGUAUCAUAUCCCAGCCUAAGCCUGCCUUUCUCCUUCCCCCUCCACAUGGGGAGGGGCCGUGGGCUCAGAGCUCACCUGGAAUGCCUCCGGUUGCUGAAGGGCUGGAUGGAGACUCUGAGACAACCUGAUGGAUCAUCUCAUAAACAGAGCCUGCAGGAAGGAAAAGAAAAUUAUGCCAGCAUAAUGCACUUACGAGAAAUAGAUACGUGCGGUGCAGGGAGAAAUGCUUUGAUAUUAAAAUUUUUGUAACUUAAAAAGGCAUGAAAAAUGAUACCGACCACUAACUAAUCAACAUUCCUUUGCGAAUGCAGCUUCAGUUCCUAACCAAAAACACAUCCCUGCUAUUGUCUUGUCUGGAUCCAGAUGCAAACAUGAUUAAUUAAGUUUCUGGUGAGGAGUGGGAGGAGGGCAGUGGGAACUGAUGGCUUGCUGAGGAUCCUUUUCAUAUACAGGCCUGGGGAGAAUCCCUUAGUCUGGGUGCCUAUUUCCCUCCACAUGUCAGGGCUUACCCCGUGCACUGACAGCUACAGGGGGCAGUGAGUACGCCGCAGCCAGACCCAUGGAGCGAGGCAGUGAGAGGCUGAAAGGAGAGGCUCUACAGACAGUACAGAGAGGCUCUUGGUACCUCCCGUUGCCACUGCGCAGCACAGCACGGCAGAGUAGCAAACGCAUAUGCCAUGUCUUGUUGGGAGACCUGGGCCCUGCUCCAGACUGCUACCAAGUAGUUUGGGACCUUGAAUGAGCUGCCUCAAUUUCUCCAUUUGUGAAAUUGAGAGGUGGACAGUGUGCUGGCAGCCCUCGCAGCCCUCGCUCUCGGCCUUGGUGCCUACUCUGGCUGCGCUUGAGGAGCCCUUCGGCCCACUGCCGCACUGUGGGAGCCCCUUUCUGGGCUGGCCAAGGCUGGAGCCAGCUCCCUCAGCUUGC